AUGGAGAUAGAUAAAAGUACUCAAGGGACGCUGGAAGAUCAAAUGUUUUACAGAAGGAUAACCUUAAAAGAACUUACUGGAAUUAGGCACGACAACCCAACAGAUGAGGACUUUGUGUUCACCACAAUAGCUACAAUUGAUCGGUUACAAGAAAAUAUUCAAUGGUGGUACAUGUCAUGCGAUGUUUGCAACAAAAUUGCUACAAAAGAAUCACAUAAUUAUUAUUGCAAGAAUUGUGAUACGUAUCCAGAAGGUUUAACACCUAGGUAUCGUAUUCGGCUUCAAAUUAGUGAUCACAGUGCUACUACAAGUUGCACUUUAUUUGAUGAAGAGGCUGAACGAAUGCUCAAUACAUCAGUCUCAUUCCUGUUGGAUUCAUUAGAUGGAAAAUCAGAAGAAGUCCCCAAGAUUAUACAAGAAUUAUGUAGACAAAGACUCAUCUUUCGACUCAAACUCAACAAUAAGAAC
rnacentral:rRNA from 1 species